rnacentral:rRNA from 1 species
AGUGUAGGUGGCUCAUUAAGUCACAUGUGAAAUCCCCGGGCUUAACCUGGGAACUGCAUGUGAUACUGGUGGUGCUAGAAUAUGUGAGAGGGAAGUAGAAUUCCAGGUGUAGCGGUGAAAUGCGUAGAGAUCUGGAGGAAUACCGGUGGCGAAGGCAGCUUCCUGGCAUAAUAUUGACACUGAGAUUCGAAAGCGUGGGUAGCAAACA